AAAUAGAUAAUGAUUUAGAUGCUGUUUUAAAUGUUUACGAUUAGUCCAAUAAACUUUUAGGUAACACUCUAAAAUUCAAAUAUCGAGUAUAGUUCACCCUAUAUAGUGAAUAUUAUAUAAAUACUGUAUACAAUUUUGGUACACCAAUGACAAGAUAAAUCUAUAGACAAUUUUUAGAAUAGUUACUUCAAUAUAUUAACAUUACUUUCUUUGA
rnacentral:lncRNA from 1 species